UUAUCUACUUUCAUUUUUCUUCUACUUCAGUUUCUAGUUGUUACGCGUGGGGUUCUCAUGAUUCGUUGUUCUAGAGUGCAGUGGCAGUAUACACACAAGUCUUUCUAUUGCUAUACAUAACAUGGACUGUUUGAUGUAGUGGUAAAACAUGAUUAUGCUCGUUGGUACGAAUGCGAACUCGAUUGGAUAACUGAGGUGGAAUAAGGGAAGAAGGUGGAGCAUUGAAGACAAGCUUACCUUGAGAAUACUUGGUAGGAUGAAUUAAAGGCUCACUUCUCCUUGUGCAGUCCUCAAAUGAAGAAUGAAGAGAAUGCAACAAUGUUGGCUGUUUUGAAUGACGAGGUGGUUUGGCUGGGAGCUUGUAUACAUGGGAGGAGGUACAUUCUAGGGUGGCUGAUUGACAUAUUUAGGUGUACUUGGGCAUGGCAGCCUGCUGCAUAGGCGUGGGAAAAAAAAAGGUGCAGCAAGCUCAAGAGGGGAUAGGGGAGUGUGCAGCACAUGUCUCCAUACCUUAUUGUUAUUCACAUUUUCUUGAACUUAGGGGGGGGGGUGGCAGGUGGUGGAGUAGGAAAGUGGUAGAGUGUAAACCGUAGGGAGUGCAGAUGGUAGAUAAGCAUAGGUGUGUAUGGUUGUAAAGUAUGAUGUGAUCUAAAUAUAAUCCUUCAGUGUUGUUGCUCUGUAUUUGAAAUAUUGGUUUCGUGUCUUGCUAAAAAUCGAUAAUCCGUAGUCGAAAA